AUUGAACGCUGGCGGCAGGCCUAACACAUGCAAGUCGAACGGUAACAGGAAACAGCUUGCUGUUUCGCUGACGAGUGGCGGACGGGUGAGUAAUGUCUGGGAAACUGCCUGAUGGAGGGGGAUAACUACUGGAAACGGUAGCUAAUACCGCAUAACGUCGCAAGACCAAAGAGGGGGACCCUCGGGCCUCUUGCCAUCGGAUGUGCCAGAUGGGAUUAGCUUGUUGGUGGGGUAACGGCUCACCAAGGCGACGAUCCCUAGCUGGUCUGAGAGGAUGACCAGCCACACUGGAACUGAGACACGGUCCAGACUCCUACGGGAGGCAGCAGUGGGGAAUAUUGCACAAUGGGCGCAAGCCUGAUGCAGCCAUGCCGCGUGUAUGAAGAAGGCCUUCGGGUUGUAAAGUACUUUCAGCGGGGAGGAAGGGAGUAAAGUUAAUACCUUUGCUCAUUGACGUUACCCGCAGAAGAAGCACCGGCUAACUCCGUG
rnacentral:rRNA from 1 species